rnacentral:rRNA from 1 species
UACAGAGGGUGCAAGCGUUGUUCGGAAUUACUGGGCGUAAAGCGCGUGUAGGCGGCGGCGUAAGUCGAAUGUGAAAGCCCUUGGCUUAACCAAGGAAGUGCAUUCGAUACUGCGUCGCUUGAGUGCCGGAGGGGAUGGCGGAAUUCCUGGUGUAGAGGUGAAAUUCGUAGAUAUCAGGAGGAACACCUGUGGCGAAGGCGGCCAUCUGGACGGUGACUGACGCUGAGACGCGAAAGCGUGGGUAGCAAACAGG